rnacentral:lncRNA from 1 species
UCUUGAUUUUUUAAUGUGGGCUAGUUUGGCCUUUCUCUUCAGGAUGGUCAUGUCUAUGUCACAGGCCUCCAACAUGUUUGUAGUUCUUUGGAGUCCUAAUCGCCGUAAUUGGUUUAGGUUCAUGGUUCUGGCUUCUUUUAGAUUAUACAUUCUUCUCCUGGCGUCUGUUAUUGCUAUUCUUAGGCAGAUCCUCCUGGUGUUCUGUAACGCUUUGUAAGAUUUAACCGGCAACUUAAUAUUCAGGAUCGAUUUGGGGUAGACUCCAUUUAGUUUACACUGUGCAAGGAACUCCCAUGUAGCUUCUGCUUUGAUAAACUUAGCUGAAAUAGUUCUAUAGACUUUAAUGUACUGCAAGGUAACAUCAGUAGCUGGCUCUGCUACGCAUUCCAUAACGAUACUCAAACUCCACUGCUCUAGGCAGGAU